rnacentral:rRNA from 1 species
CGGCGGACGGGUGAGUAACGCGUGGGUAACCUGCCCUGUACACACGGAUAACAUACCGAAAGGUAUGCUAAUACGGGAUAACAUAAGAAAUUCGCAUGUUUUUCUUAUCAAAGCUCCGGCGGUACAGGAUGGACCCGCGUCUGAUUAGCUAGUUGGUGAGGUAAUGGCUCACCAAGGCGACGAUCAGUAGCCGACCUGAGAGGGUGAUCGGCCACAUUGGAACUGAGACACGGUCCAAACUCCUACGGGAGGCAGCAUG